rnacentral:lncRNA from 1 species
GCUCUAUAGAGAGAUGCAUGACAGAGGGAGGUAGAGGGAGAGAUGCCCUGAUCUCAUUUUUCUCUUUCUCACCAAUCUCUAGCCAAGGCCAUCACUGGCCAAGCCCAUCUAAAAGCCAGAGGCAGCAAGCAGUGCCCGUUGAAACAUCCAUAAAAGGUUAUAUAUCCUCUGCCUCUCCUACGGAGCUCAUCCCUACCAAGCCUGCUCCUGCAGAGGGAUGCAACUUUCCGACCCACUGACAUCUGUCUUGGUCAUAUGACUUGCUUUGGUCAAUGAAAUGUGGUGUAAAAAGGUGGAGGCUUUGAGAGCCAUUGCCUGGUUCUGCCUUGUUCUUUUCUUUGGGUCACAAGGACGGCAGCUUCCCAGGUACAAUCUGCUCUCUCAGUGUGCAUCUUGAUAUGAAGACAUCAUGAAGGAAAGCAGAGCUGACUGACUGGCAAAAACAUAACUGUGGAUAGAACCCAAAGAGAAAACAAAGCCCAAACAGUCUCAGCUCCUUUACUCUAUGCGACCAAUGGCAUUUCAACCUCCCUCUACAGUUUGAUACCUUCUUCUAUAGUUACAGAAUUCUUAACUUUGUUUUGACCUGGAUCCAUGGCCACCCAAAAUAAAGACUAUAUUUCUAAGCCUCUGAUGCCACUAGGUAUAGCCACCUGACUAAACUGUGGUCAAUGUGAAUGAAGCAGAAAUGGUGUACACAAGUUCCGGGAAGUGUGCUUAAAGAGGGUUCUUCACUUUUCUCCCAUGUGCUGGUUAGAAUGUGGGGACGGCAGCUAGGUAGCUAGAACUAGGACAUGAGGACAGUGUGGGAAUGGAACUCAACCAUGGAAGAAAAACAAGGAAGAGGGAACUGGGGACCAUGCUGCGGAUGAAUCAUCAUGUUGAUCUUGGAAUGCCCAUUUUAGGAUUAAGCCACUGUUAUUCUGAGUUCUCUGCCACCUGAUGCUAAAUCCUAUCCUAUUAGAAAUGGUGCUCAUAACAGAUGGUGGUGAGAGGUCCAGGGUGAAGGUGCAACAGAGAGACAAAGGGAUAUGGCUAUGAUGUAGUUGGGAAAUGGGGUUUUGCAACAUUUUACAAGUGUCAUGGGGGUUGUGGGCUUACCUCUGCAAACCCUAUGUAUUGAGGGAAAUGGAAAUGAAGCAGUUCCUGGUUAUGAAAACUGCCCAUUUAAUGUUAGGACAAAAGACUUAGAUUCCUACACACUCUUGCUCUUCCUGAACCUUGCUCUACAUUCUCUACAACAUGGGAAGUGUCAAAACAGAGUAAAACUAUCUCAAUUCUGCCCCAGCAACAAACACAAAAUAUGCUGUCAUUUGAACUCUUUGCUUAACAAAGGCACAUGAGUGAAAUCCAUAGUGAUCACUUUACUCACUCAACCAAACAUGUAAGAAACACUUCCCUAGGCCCCUUUAAAACCCAAGAAGAAGACAAGUCAUAUUGACAUCUGAUCCACUGACCUUGUCUUCAGGUGGUGCUCCUUCAUUAUUCCAAGGAUGCAGCAUCUCUAUGGUGCCAGGUAUGGGGGUAAAGCCUUUGGCGCCCUUUCCGCAAUGGCACAUCAGCAGUAAAAGUGGUACCACUGUACAGACACAAAAUUGAACACAGAUAAGGUUAACCUUGAUAUAUUUCUAAAUUUAUAUUGCACAAUUUUGGAAUUUGCAUGUCCCUUCCUGGACUUGUCUUCACUUAUUUACAGCUCUAUUUUUCUUUUCUUCACCCUGAUCCAACCUUACCAAGCUUGUUUUGGGUGAAUUACUCCAAAACCCGAAGGCAGGAUGAGGGAGUCUUACAGAUUCAAGGCCUUGUUCAUCAAAAAGAGGCUGUCUGUGGCUGCUGAGUGGAAUACCAAGACUAGGUUCAGAUAGUAUCCAAAUCAUCAAAACCAGCUUAAAGAUUAAUUUUUUUAAAACUAUGGUCCAAUUAAAAAAAAAUCACUGUUGCAAAAAUAUAUGUACUAUUGAAAACAGUAAUUAGAAAUAAUAAAGUGAAACAUAUAACAAUUUCAGAGCCCUCUUCUUAGAUUUUAUUUUACCCCUAGGAGGAAGCAAAGACCAAGGCUGACCCCUUGAUCAAUGUAGUAAAGAAUUAAACACACCUGCAUGCCCAUCUGCCACUCCCAUUUGGCAGCUUCCAAUGAUGAACUGGCUACUGCCUAGAUUCGUUUUUAUGUCAAACAGUCAACAGCACAUUAACUACAGCUACUACGAUUAAUAAGAAGACUGAAAUCAGCCAGUGGCAAUUCAACAAUUUUAACAAACAUUCAUCAAGUGUCUAUUAUGUGCCAAGUACCACAUUAGGCUCCAGGGAAUCUGAGAUGAGAAAGCAGUGCAAGGAAUCCCUGAGCAAAAGAUACAGUCCCAGCUCCAGUACCUACCUACAAACUUGGUAAGCUGAGACAAGUCAUUUACCGUUAUGUAUCUGUAUAUGUAGCCAUAGCAUGGAGAUGAUGGUAUAAAAGUACACUGCA